CAGUAGCCGCGGUAAUACGUAGGUGGCAAGCGUUGUCCGGAUUUAUUGGGCGUAAAGCGAGCGCAGGCGGUUUCUUAAGUCUGAUGUGAAAGCCCCCGGCUCAACCGGGGAGGGUCAUUGGAAACUGGGAAACUUGAGUGCAGAAGAGGAGAGUGGAAUUCCAUGUGUAGCGGUGAAAUGCGUAGAUAUAUGGAGGAACACCAGUGGCGAAGGCGGCUCUCUGGUCUGUAACUGACGCUGAGGCUCGAAAGCGUGGGGAGCAAACAGGAUUAGAUACCCGUGUAGUCCUGUCUCUUAUACA
rnacentral:rRNA from 1 species